GGGACUCUGGCAGAGUUGGUCAAUGCACUGGACUGAAAAUCCGGCUAUCUCGGUUCGAUUCCGAGGGGUCCCA
rnacentral:tRNA from 1 species